rnacentral:rRNA from 1 species
UACAGAGGGGGCAAGCGUUGUUCGGAAUUACUGGGCGUAAAGCGCACGUAGGCGGCUUUGUAAGUUAGAGGUGAAAGCCCAGAGCUCAACUCUGGAACUGCCUUUAAGACUGCAUCGCUUGAAUCAUGGAGAGGUUAGUGGAAUUCCGAGUGUAGAGGUGAGAUUCGUAGAUAUUCGGAAGAACACCAGUGGCGAAGGCGACUAACUGGACAUGUAUUGACGCUGAGGUGCGAAAGCGUGGGGAGCAAACAGG